AUUGAACGCUGGCGGCGUGCUUUACACAUGCAAGUCGGACGAGUGGCGAACGGGUGAGUAACGCAUCGGAACGUACCGAGUAAGGGGGGAUAACCGGCCGAAAGGACAGCUAAUACCGCAAAAUAUGCUAGCGGCCGAUGUCUGAUUAGCUGGUUGGGGGGGUAAAGGCCCACCAAGGCGACGAUCAGUAGCGGGUCUGAGAGGAUGAUCCGCCACACUGGAACUGAGACACGGCCCAGACGCCUACGGGAGGCAGCAGUGGGGAAUUUUGGACAAUGGGCGCAAGCCUGAUCCAGCCAUGCCGCGUGUCUGAAGAAGGCCUUCGGGUUGUAAAGGACUUUUGGCAGGGAAGCGGUACCUGAAGAAUAAGCACCGGCUAACUACGUGCCAGCCGCCGCGGUAAUAC
rnacentral:rRNA from 1 species